GCAGUAGCCGCGGUAAUACGUAGGGUGCAAGCGUUAAUCGGAAUUACUGGGCGUAAAGCGUGCGCAGGCGGUUAUAUAAGACAGAUGUGAAAUCCCCGGGCUCAACCUGGGAACUGCAUUUGUGACUGUAUAGCUAGAGUACGGCAGAGGGGGAUGGAAUUCCGCGUGUAGCAGUGAAAUGCGUAGAUAUGCGGAGGAACACCGAUGGCGAAGGCAAUCCCCUGGGCCUGUACUGACGCUCAUGCACGAAAGCGUGGGGAGCAAACAGGAUUAGAGACCCCCGUAGUCCCUGUCUCUUAUAC
rnacentral:rRNA from 1 species